rnacentral:rRNA from 1 species
AUUGAACGCUGGCGGCAGGCCUAACACAUGCAAGUCGAGGGGAGCGGCGGACGGGUGAGUAAUGCCUAGGAAUCUGCCUGGUCGAGGGGGUUAACGUCCGGAAACGGGCGCUAAUACCGCAUACUAUCAGAUAAGCAUAGGUAGGAUUAGAUAGUUGGUGGGGUAAAGGCCUACCAAGGCGACGAUCAGUAACUGGUAUGAGAGGAUGAUCAGUCACACUGGAAUUGAGACACGGUCCCGACUCCUACGGUAGGGAGCAUGGGGGAAUAUUGUAUAAGGGGCGAAAGCCUGAUCCAACCAAGCCGCGUGGGUGAAGAAGGUCUUCGGAUUGUAAAGCACUUUAAGUUGGUAGGCGUUACCAACAGAAUAAGCACCGGCUAACGUCGUGCCAGCAGCCGCGGUAAUUC